UGGGGAAUAUUGCACAAUGGGCGCAAGCCUGAUGCAGCGACGCCGCGUGAGGGAUGACGGCCUUCGGGUUGUAAACCUCUUUCAGCAGGGACGAAGCGCAAGUGACGGUACCUGCAGAAGAAGGACCGGCCAACUACGUGCCAGCAGCCGCGGUAAUACGUAGGGUCCGAGCGUUGUCCGGAAUUACUGGGCGUAAAGAGCUCGUAGGUGGUUUGUCGCGUUGUUCGUGAAACUCACAGCUUAACUGUGGGCGUGCGGGCGAUACGGGCAGACUGGAGUACUGCAGGGGAGACUGGAAUUCCUGGUGUAGCGGUGGAAUGCGCAGAUAUCAGGAGGAACACCGGUGGCGAAGGCGGGUCUCUGGGCAGUAACUGACGGCUGAGGAGCGAAAGCGUGGGGAGCGAACAGGAUUAGAUACCCUGGUAGUCCACGCCGUAAACGGUGGGUACUAGGUGUGGGUUUCCUUCCUUGGGAUCCGUGCCGUAGCUAACGCAUU
rnacentral:rRNA from 1 species